rnacentral:rRNA from 1 species
UACGUAGGGUGCAAGCGUUGUCCGGAAUUAUUGGGCGUAAAGAGCUCGUAGGCGGUCUGUCGCGUCGGCUGCGAAAACCCGGGGCUCAACCCCGGGCCUGCAGUCGAUACGGGCAGACUAGAGUGUGGUAGGGGAGACUGGAAUUCCUGGUGUAGCGGUGAAAUGCGCAGAUAUCAGGAGGAACACCGGUGGCGAAGGCGGGUCUCUGGGCCAUAACUGACGCUGAGGAGCGAAAGCGUGGGGAGCGAACAGG